GUUUGCAGUUGCUAGAACGAUGAUUCAUUCUCCCAGCAGGGCUGUAGCUUGCCUCUGCAGGUUUCACAAUGUAGCUUGGUUUUGAAAUGACUGGAUUGCAUACAGCACGCCUCCCAGAAGAUUGCUUUGCAAACUUACAAGCGACGAGACACAGGCAAGCCUUAUUCUUGUGACAAUGGCAAUUGACAUCCACCAUCUCGUUCUUGUGGCAGCAGAUUUAACUCUGGCUUCUGUUCUUUCCUUUGCCUUUUAUGCAUUUACCUGCCUUUGUCUUGUGAUUCUUGCCAGCUGUAUGAUCUUCGUCUCUUCCUUUGAGGCUGUAAAGACGUUCAAGAGAAAAAUAGGCUUAAAGGGGAGAGCAAUCAUGAUGAGCACCUUUGGAACAAGGCAUGUGAAAAAAAUGGACAAAGAAAGCUUUGAAAUUCUGGCAGUACGUCCUACCCCAGAGUUUGAAGGGACACAUCUCCUGGAGAAGGACUGUUCUUCAAAGACCAGGAUGAUACAGCUUCCGGUGGUGAAAGAGAAGUAUCAAGCAGUGAUGCAGACUGAGAGCCAACUAUCUCUGGAAGGGAAGUCUAGAAUGAUGAAAAAGCCUUCAUGGACAAAGGCACCAAUAGAAAAUAAAAGAAAAUUGUCUCCUAAAGGGGAAAAUGGUUUCCUAUCACCAGUUUUUCUCAUUGCCAUGCUUUUGGCUCCAGUGAACAUUGUGUGUUGCCAUCUGAAGAAGAAAAUUUACCAACUAUGUACCAGAAUACUGAACUCUCAAGACUGACAGAUGAGACUGAGUGGACAUACUUCUUACCGACCAAGCACAUGCUCCUUUGGGCAGCUCAUUCAUCCAAAUAAACAACUGAAGUGCAUGUGCA
rnacentral:lncRNA from 1 species